rnacentral:tRNA from 1 species
GCCGGUGUAGCUCAGAGGCAGAGCAGCUGAUUCGUAAUCAGCUGGUCAAGGGUUCGAGUCCCUUCACCGGCUCCA